rnacentral:tRNA from 1 species
GACCCGCUGGUCAAGUGGUCAAGACGUCGCCCUCUCACGGCGGAAUCAGGGGUUCGACUCCCCUGCGGGUUACCA